GACGAACGCUGGCGGCGUGCUUAACACAUGCAAGUCGAACGGAAAGGCCCUGCUUUUGUGGGGUGCUCGAGUGGCGAACAGGUGAGUAACACGUGAGUAACCUGCCCUUGACAUUGGGAUAACUUCAGGAAACUGGGGCUCAUACCGGAUAGGAGCUCCUGCUGCAUGGUGGGGGUUGGAAAAUUUCGGCUGUUGGGGAUGGAAUAGCGGCUUAUCAGCUUGUUGGUGGGGUAGUGGCUUACGAAGGGUUUGACGGGUAGCCGGCCUGAGAGGGGGAACGGCGACAUUGGGACUACGAGACGGCGCAGACUCCAACGGGAGGCAGCAGUGGGGAGUAUUGCACAGCGGGGGGAAGCCUGUGGCGGAAACGCUGGGUGCGGGAUGACCGGCUUCGGGGGGUAAACCGCUUUGGCAGGUGACAAAGCGGGAGUGACGGUAAUGGGUAAAGAAGCACCGGCUAACUACGUG
rnacentral:rRNA from 1 species